ACCCCUACGGGGGGCAGCAGUGAGGAAUAUUGGACAAUGGGCGGGAGCCUGAUCCAGCCAUGCCGCGUGCAGGAAGACUGCCCUAUGGGUUGUAAACUGCUUUUAUACGGGAAGAAACACUCCCUCGUGAGGGAGCUUGACGGUACUGUAAGAAUAAGCACCGGCUAACUCCGUGCCAGCAGCCGCGGUAA
rnacentral:rRNA from 1 species